rnacentral:misc_RNA from 1 species
GGAAUCUACUCUUACGUCAGUUGUUUGUCAUCAGCCAACCCUUCCAAUGUAAUUUUCCAGUUGUUCUCUCAUAUGAACGCCUCUCUCCCUCUCACUUUCCCUUUCUUUCAACCUCCUCCAUCACCCCCCUGGCGCGCGUGUUCUUUUCACUCUCCGAUCACCCUCUUGCCUCUUAACAGUUCAACAUUCUACUCACUUAAAUUAUCUCCCAAUUCUUUCCGCCGGAGAACUCUCCGUCGACUCUCUCCUAUCAUGUCCUCGGCUAUCUCUCAACCGGGAAUUACCGAACUCAGUGACGAGUCCGAUUUCCAUAGCGUUCUUUCUCCCUCCGGUCUCAUCUCCAUUUGUGGCUUCGGUUCUCUCCUCUCCGAAAGAAGCGCAAGAAGCACAUUUCCUGAUCUGGUAAAUUUCAGAGUUGCGAGAUUGAACGGAUUCCGGCGCGUGUUCGCUCAUGUGGCGCCCGUUUUCUUCGAACGUGGCAUCGCUAAGCCUGAAACUAAGGAGAUUUCGAGCUUGAGUGUGGAGCCUUGCGAGGGUGAAACUCUUAUAGUUACAGUUUUUGAGAUUGAUAAAUCAGAGAUCCCUGCUUUUAUGGAAAGGGAGCUUGAGUUUCGAUUUCUAGCUGUUAUACCUGAUACACUUGAUUGCAAGCCAUUUGAUAGUCCAGCGGUGCUUUGUGCUCGUUACAGUGAUGAGGAAUUUUUCCAAAUUAGAUGCAAAGGUAAUCUGUUCUAGCUAGGCGCCCAUAAGGUGGCACAUAGAAAAAGAAUGUGACACAGUUACUGGUAAUGUGCUUCAUGAGCAUGUGACCAGCUUCCUGGUGAUAUUCUGCAAUUUAUAUCAUCCUGAGGGCUGUCUCCAAUAAACAAGACAAUGGUUCAAUCAUCUAAUGAUGAGGUUCUCUACAUAGAGUAAUUAAAAAUAUCAUUUUGAUGUCUGAGGUUGCACUCUGAAUCAUGCCUUUGGCUGAGUUGAUAUCAUAAUUUUCCAUUUCCUAAUUGUUGUUGGCUCUUUUGCCAUCAAUUAACUGUAACACAAGGCAAUAUGAUAUCCGCCACCUAAUCUCAUGCAGGGAGCAAGGAGAUUUAUUUUCAGCAUUAUGGAAGGUUUAACAUCCAUAAGAUCUGGAGAGAUGAUAUCUUACCUUGUCGUACUUAUCUUCGGCACUGGUAAGUGCUACGUUUGAUAACAUACUGCCAUGCAAUCUGGAAAUUUUAUAGAAGUCUUCAUUGAAUAACUUGACAGUACUUGCAUAGCACAUGAAAGUCAGAGAGCUACGUUGCUUAAAUUGCAUAUGAGAUGGUAGUAAAGUGAGGUUGAAACAAAAUAUUUGCACAUAUGGUAGCAGAGUAGAUAAUGUAACUUUGACCCAAAGAACAGCUUAUUAGUUUUGCACAUCAAAGAGAAAUAAGCGGGCUUUUAUUAAACGUGAAAGGAUUGCCGGAGCAGACUUUCUGGCCUCCUGAAUAUUAAAAUUUCACCAGUGUCUUCAGUACAGGAUUUCUCGUUUGUUGUUGUCCUUAAAUUUUGUUAUCUGAAUGAGCCCGUUUACUUCUCCUGGUCCAGUUUGUUUUUGAGCUGCCAGAAGAAUAAGUUGAAGCUAUUUUGUUCAUUUGAAGUCCUUGAGUGGGUGCCAAUAAUUUUCCUUGAACCCUGUUUUCGAUACAGCCUUCUCUGUGUAUAAAUUGAAAGUGACAAAAUGCCCUGCAGUGUAUUGGCAGCAAAGAAUCUGGGCAGUGUAGCUCAUGACAACUUUUUGGAUCAUACUUUCCUUGGAGAUCGUAAAACAACCAUCCAUGAGUAUCUAGCAACAACUGGUGCAGGUAUAAUGGAAGAAGAGCCCCCAGAAUCCCUUAAGACGCGAUAUGGUGGCUGAUAUCAAAACUUGCCGAGCCGUACAUUGAAGGGUAGUGGUGUUUCAAGGCAGGCUGCUUCAAUCUUGUUUUCCCCAUUGAUCAGGGAUGGGGCUAAAGAAAACCGUUUUCAUGUUCUAGCAUAGUCAUGAUUGGAAGGCUCCUAGUAGGGACAGUGAGCUUUUUUACCUUAUAAAAUUAAAGCAAGAAUUUAUUGCAAUAAAACAUGGUCAGUUGUCAUCCUUCAUGAAUGCAUUCCAUCCUUAGC